rnacentral:tRNA from 1 species
GUUUUAAUAAUUUAAUAAAAAUAUUGGUCUUGUAAAUCAAUUAUAAGUUUCGACUUUUAAAACU